GUUGAAGCCACAACAAUAACAAAAAUUGCGUGAAAAUCCUUUGGAACCGUUUGGGAAUAAAAGAUGAGUCGUGCAGAGAACAGGGCAUAUUGGGGUGCAACAGACACUACACCGCAGGCCUUGGAUAAUUUAGCUGUGCAUUGUGAAGGUACAUUGACCGGGACAUCUUCAGAGAUGCAGUUGUCCAAGCAGAAUUUCCAAAGUAGAGGUGGUAAUGUCUCAACCACUUCUAGCAUAGAUGCUCUUGGAAACAACCAGUACAAGUAGUAGCUUCUGAUAACAAUGCAUCCUGAAAAUCUACUAUCUAUAGUUCUUCACAAGUUCUUCAACUGGUACUUUAAGUGAUGAUAUCCAGGUCGAGGGAGUGCCAGCCGAUCGCAGUGUAGUGCCAGGGAUAAGGAAAUUGGUCAGCUGAAGAGAUGCUUGGAAAAAGACAAAUCAUGAUUGAUGAGGCCGACGCACACGGCCAUAGCAACCCCAUGCUGGUAGAGCACCCACAAGCAAGCAGCAUCACUGACAAGUCCUUGCUCACCUCCCUCUUCUACUGCAGCAUGUACCACUGGGAUGCCCCUGAGUCCGACCCUGGAAGCCUCACUGCUCUAAGGAAGGCACAUGGCAUUCCUGAGAGGCAGGAGCUGUGAAUAGUGAUCGGAGGCUGGGCCAGGGUCAAUCACUCGCCCUUGCCUGGAUAGUUGGAUGGGCAACAAGGUUUUCAUUGCCCAGGACAGAGAAGCUUUCGAAAAGAAUCUGAGUAGCCUCUGGCAGGAUCCCCAGAAUAUCUAAAGGAUGAGAGCACUUGAGAAACUAUACAUUGGAAGAACAAAGAGAAAACGACUCAGGAUGCUAGGUUGUAUGAUUAUCAGUAUUUCUCUUUCAUUUUCUGUUUUUUAUCCUCUGUUUUGGAUAAAUCUUCCACAAACACUAUGCUGCCUGUUCCAAUAAUUUGCAAAAGAAAGA